GGAUUAGAUACCCUGGUAGUCCACACAGUAAACGAUGAAUACUCGCUGUUUGCGAUAUACGGUAAGCGGCCAAGCGAAAGCGUUAAGUAUUCCACCUGGGGAGUACGCCGGCAACGGUGAAACUCAAAGGAAUUGACGGGGGCCCGCACAAGCGGAGGAACAUGUGGUUUAAUUCGAUGAUACGCGAGGAACCUUACCCGGGCUUGAAUUGCAACUGAAUGAUGUGGAGACAUGUCAGCCGCAAGGCAGUUGUGAAGGUGCUGCAUGGUUGUCGUCAGCUCGUGCCG
rnacentral:rRNA from 1 species